rnacentral:rRNA from 1 species
GACGAACGCUGGCGGCGUGCUUAACACAUGCAAGUCGAACGGAAAGGCCCUGCUUUUGUGGGGUGCUCGAGUGGCGAACGGGUGAGUAACACGUGAGUAACCUGCCCUUGACUUUGGGAUAACUUCAGGAAACUGGGGCUAAUACCGGAUAGGAGCUCCUGCUUCAUGGUGGGGGUUGGAAAGUUUCGGCGGUUGGGGAUGGACUCGCGGCUUAUCAGCUUGUUGGUGGGGUAGUGGCUUACCAAGGCUUUGACGGGUAGCCGGCCUGAGAGGGUGACCGGCGACAUUGGGACUGAGAGACGGCGCAGACUCCUACGGGAGGCAGCAGUGGGGAAUAUUGCACAAUGGGCGGAAGCCUGAUGCAGCAACGCCGCGUGCGGGAUGACGGCCUUCGGGUUGUAAACCGCUUUCGCCUGUGACGAAGCGUGGGUGACGGUAAUGGGUAAAGAAGCACCGGCUAACUACGUG